CAGAUGUAGGAGUGCCUGGGUCCUCCCUAUCAUCUGGAUCUGCGGUUAGUGAUACCUCCUCACUGUCACCACUAUCCCUGAAACAGGAAGAUGAUGUGUCUAUGCAGCCUUUACCGACUAUGUUGUCUCCUGAAAAGAAAAUACACAAGCGAGUCAGCCCAUCUCCCAGAGCCAAGCGACCCGCCCACCCAAACCAGAGGGUGUCCAUUCAGCCCAAACUUCCCCCCUCUGUCCUCCUCACCCAACCCUUGGCCCCUCUUCUCAAAACCAGGACCAUUGUCAUCCAGCCCGUUGGCCUGCAGACUGUGGUCUCAGUGAUCAAGGAUCCACCGCAUGUGACUGUCCAUGCUACUGCACCCU